rnacentral:rRNA from 1 species
GAUGAACGCUGGCGGCGUGCCUAAUACAUGCAAGUCGAGCGAAUGGAUUAAGAGCUUGCUCCUAUGAAGUUAGCGGCGGACGGGUGAGUAACACGUGGGUAACCUGCCCAUAAGACUGGGAUAACUCCGGGAAACCGGGGCUAAUACCGGAUAACAUUUUGAACCGCAUGGUUAGAAAUUGAAAGGCGGCUUCGGCUGUCACUUCUGGAUGGACCCGGGUCGCAUUAGCUAGUUGGUGAGGUAACGGCUCACCAAGGCAACGAUGCGUAGCCGACCUGAGAGGGUGAUCGGCCACACUGGGACUGAGACACGGCCCAGACUCCUACGGGAGGCAGCAGUAGGGAAUCUUCCGCAAUGGACGAAAGUCUGACGGAGCAACGCCGCGUGAGUGAUGUAGGCUUUCGGGUCGUAAAACUCUGUUGUUAGGGAAGAACAAGUGCUAGUUGAAUAAGCUGGCACCUUGACGGUACCUAACCAGAAAGCCACGGCUAACUACGUGCCAGCAGCCGCCGUAA